UUCUAUGUAAAUUGAGUCAUGUAAAGGGACAGUAUGAAGGUGCAUCAAUUGCCUUACUUAAAAUCUCUGGGAGAAAAGGUGUUGUCCGAGUAAAUGGAAAGAUCAUUAAGAAAAAAUCGACUAUUACCCUCAGUGGAGGGGAUGAAGUGGUUUUUAGUUCAUCCGGCACCGACGAUCAUGUAUAUAUUUUUCAGCAACUUGCAAAUGAGAAAUUAACUACUACAGUUGCUCCUUCGUCAGUUAGAAUAACAGGAAAUCAGAGUUCACCUAUAGAAGAGAUUCACCUUGAAACAAGGUCAAGAGAUCCUUCAGCUGUUGCAGGAGCCUCGAUAUUGGCAUCUCUAUCAAAUCUUAGAAAAGAUUUGAAAGUUCUUCCCUAGGCAGCUAGCCAUCCCAAACAAUGAGGAUGUCCAGCAAGAAAUGAAAAGGGCUUCACUGCCUUUCGCAUGUGCAGCAUCAGACAACUAUAUUCCAUACCUUGACGUCAAUUGCCACGCUAAGACAGGUAGUUCUGAACAGAAAGCAAGGGCUAGUGUUCCUUCUAGCAUUACAAGAAAGUGGAGAAUAUCUGGCACUUUUUUUUACCGGCGGCCAUCACCAACUGCCGGAUCCGGUCGACUUAAAAAGGAAAGCCCUAUCUCUCUCUGUUUCUCUUUACCUCUCUC